UGCAGAUCAGGAAACAAGCAAUGAAACCCAAAUGGGUGGGAAGUAGAAACAUUUAAAUUGUGUAUAAAUUGCAGCAGAUCAACAAUUGCUGCCUGACUUUUAAGCCUGUGAUGGUUUGGGCUGUGCAGAAGAGAUUUCAGCUCCUGGGCAGCCACUCCACUUCUGCACAGGAAUAUUUUUGGGUGUUGUCUCCUUUAGUUUUGGCUCACUUCACAUAAUUCAGUUCCACUCUGGGUUCCUCAUGGGCUUCUCCUGCUCCAGGGACCAGAUUCAAACCAGGAGCUUGUAAAGGCACCAGGAGGAAAACCCUGAUUUGAGGCUGCUUGUAGGCAGGCAAAAGGUUUGAGAAUCCUGAAAUCCUAAAGUGUGUGGUGCAGACUGAAGGAUUUAUUCCCAAUGUUUUCAAGGAUGAUUUUUUAUUGCCAGUGUUUUCUUGUGAACAGGCUGUGGGAUGUCCCUGGCUGCACACAGCUGGAGCAAGAAAAAGAGAAAUAAUGAGAAAUAUUCUUCUGUUGUAUUGGCUUCUGAUAGCUGGAAAAUCCAAGUUCUGGCUGCUGCUUCCUUAGGGAAGGAUUAACAGAUGGAGAUACAUGAACAGAGCCACUCCUGGAGUUCUGAUUGCUGUCACUCCAAUUCAGAACUGCACAUUUUUCCAUCCCCUCAUGCUUCAUGGAGGGAUUUUGACCUGUUUUUUCUUCAACACUCUUAUGUUGAAGGCACCCCUGGCUCUCAGAAUAGACUGGGAGAUGAGUACUUAAUAAUUUAAAUUAAAUAAAAGGUAGAAAAUAUCAUUUCACCGGGGUAAAGAAGCAGCAGGUAGAAAUGACUCCUGGUUUCCCUAGGGAAAUACUGGGAAGAUCUGAGAGGCAAGAGGGAUGAAAUGGGGCCACUGGAAAGUUAAAAAUGAGGAUUCUUCCCAAAAUCUGUGCAGCUGGUCCAGGCUCUGCUCCCAGUUCUGCCACUGCUCUGCUCUGGAAGUGGAGAUUCGAGGCAGAAGUUGAGGAGCUGCCUGCAAAGGACAGCCCCAAACCCACCUGCUGUUCCUAUUUCUCUGGUUUUGCUUCAAAAAUGGAGCCUCAGGCUGCACCAGGGGAGGCUCAGGUUGGACAACAGGAGGAAUUCUCCCAUGGAAAAGGUUGUUAAAUGUGGGAAUUUAACACAGGGAGGUUUGGAGUGCCCAUUUUGGAGGUGUCCCGGGAAUUCUUAGAGCUCUGGGCUGGGGACAAGGUGGGGAUUGAGGUUGGACUCAAUCUUGGAGCUCUUUUCCAGCCUCAGCAGUGCUGGGAUUGAGGAGUGCUUGGUGUGAAAAAUGCAUAUUUUGUGAUUGGCUUUUUGCAAAUAUUACAAUGAAUAUUAUAUGUGUAAUGUUGGAAAAUUAUGCUGUAUUAAUUCUCCUAUUCUUAUACAAUUCUCUCUUGUAGUGUCUUAAAUAUAGUUUUAGGGUCUAACAUAAUGUUAAAAUAGAGAUUAUGUAUGUGGGGGAAGUUUUUUUGUUUUUAGGAAUGAGAUACUCGCUUCCAGGAACACCUAAAUCUUCCAGAGAAAAGGAAUUUAUAGUUUUCUUAUCAGAAGAAACUAAUUUCUUCAGGCCUUGCUCAGACUCGAAGCCUUAAAAAUUAGAGGAAACAGUUGACAUACAACAGAGAGAUUUCUUGUUUUAAAUAGAAUGUAUGCAUAACCAUAAAAGAUAUAUAAAUAUACAACAGGCUAUUACUUUUAAAGUUAUUCCUUUAUCCACAAAAUAUAUUUUCCAUAACUUAAUAUCCAAAAACAUCCAAACGUCCAUAAUUCUUUACUUUUUUAUUGUCUUAUAAUUAUCCUAACUCUAAAUUUUAUUACUCUUAUUAUAUUACUAUUUUUAUAACCAUUUCCUUAUGAUUAAACUUGUAAAAAAAUUAAAAACCAAAUAGUGAACAUUUUUCACAGAGUGAAAUGAAACAAAAAAAAAAAAAACCCACAUCUUCUGAGAGCAUCACCUUGUCGUUCUGGCUGUGCCCUUCAGAGGAGGCAGCUCAGGGUUUUUUUGUGUUUGUGGCUGGGGAACAAGCAGGGUAAUGCUGGGGGAGAGGAGCCUGGCGUGUUCCAGCCCUGCAGUAAUGACAGCCUCUGCUUGGCAGCCCUCUCAUUGUGGUUGCCUUUCCAU
rnacentral:lncRNA from 1 species